UACGUAGGGUGCGAGCGUUAAUCGGAAUUACUGGGCGCAAAGCGUGCGCAGGCGGUUUUGUAAGCCAGAUGUGAAAUCCCCGGGCUUAACCUGGGAAUGGCAUUUGGGACUGCAAGGCUUGAGUGCGGCAGAGGAGACUGGAAUUCCUGGUGUAGCAGUGAAAUGCGUAGAUAUCUGGAGGAAUACCGGUGGCGAAGGCGGCAUCCUGGACCGACAUUGACGCUGAGGAGCGAAAGCUAGGGGAGCAAACGGG
rnacentral:rRNA from 1 species